rnacentral:rRNA from 1 species
UACAGAGGGUGCGAGCGUUGUUCGGAAUUAUUGGGCGUAAAGGGCUCGUAGGCGGUUUGUCGCGUCGGGAGUGAAAACCAGGUGCUUAACACCUGGCUUGCUUUCGAUACGGGCAGACUAGAGGUAUGCAGGGGAGAACGGAAUUCCCGGUGUAGCGGUGAAAUGCGCAGAUAUCAGGAAGAACACCGAUGGCGAAGGCAGAUCUCUGGGCCGUAACUGACGCUGAGGAGCGAAAGCAUGGGGAGCGAACAGG